GGCCAGGACCUGGGGCCAGGGCAGAGGGGCACCAGAAGGGUCAGGGCCAGGUGCUCACUGGUUUCAGCCAAACUCCUGGAGGCCCAGCAAGGGUGGAAGGGCUGGAGGGGGAGGGUCGGGCCAGGCAGGACUCAGGAAGGGCGGGAGAGCCUUGCCUCUGUCCUGACCCCACCUCUCCACCCCAGCAGAGAGCCUCUGGCCUGUCCUCCCACUGCUGGAGUGAAGUUUAAGAGAUGUGCCCACACCCCAACCCCAACCUGCCAUGUGACCUCAUUUGGGAAAAGGGGCUUGGCAGGUGUAAGUAAGACUCUCAAGAUGAAAAUCUUGGAUUUUCCGGUGGGCCCUAAGUCCAAUGACCAGGGUCCUUAUAAAAGACACCCAGAGUUGUUCUCUGGUGACGAAGCAGGUUAAGGAUCCAGUGUUGUCACUGCUGUGGUUCAGGUCACAGCUGUGGUACAGAUUUGAUUCCUGGCCCUGGAACUUCUGCAUGGCGUGGGCAUGUCCAGAAGAAAAAAAAAAAAGGAGAGAAAAAGACACCCAGAGGAGAGACAGAGUGAAGAGUUUAAGGUGAUGUGAAGAUGGAGGCACACAUGAUUCUUGCAGCCACAAGCCAAGAAUCACCUGAGCACAGGCAGCUCGGAGGGGAAGGGUCGAGACUCUCUAGAGCCUCUGGAGGGGAGUGGUCCAGCUGACACCUUGAUUUUGGACGUGUGGGCUUCAGAACUGUGAGAGAAUAAAUUACUGUGUUAUGUGUGAGCAUUUGUUACCAUAGCUCUAGGAAGCUAAUCCUGUGGGGAAGCUAAUUCAAAGGAAAAGCGGUCUCCUGGGAGGUGGGGGAUUUUGGCUCCAACCCUGGUGCUACUGGAGACUCGUCGAGAGCCUGCAGACAAGUCACUUCCCCUCUCUGGGCCUCAGUUUCUUUAGCACUAAGACAAUGCACGAUAAAAGAGCAUUAGAUACCAUGCAAAAUGGAUAUAACCAUAGCUCGGGUUAUGCACAAAAGUAAGGAUUGUCAUUCUUGUCCAUAGUUAAAAUAUGACUAUGAUUUUAUAUGCUUUAUUUAUGAGCAAUUGUGGAUAAUGCCAGAAUGUUGUUUUAUUUUGUUUGGUUUUUAUGGCCGCACGUCUGGCUUAUGGAAGUUCCCAGGCUAGGGGCUGAAUCGGAGCUGCAGCUGCUGGCCUACACCACAGCCAUGGCAACGGCCGAUCCAAGCCAUGGCCAGGCUGCAGCUCAUGGCAAGGCCAGAUGCUUAAUGCAUUGAGCAAGGCCAGGAAUCAAAACCGCAUCCUCACGAGUGCUGGUUGGGUUCUUAACCUGCUGAGCUACAAUGCGAACGCUAAGAAUGUUGUUUUAAACCAGGUUCUGGAGGAGGAUUAAAAUUAGUGCCCGUACCACCAUGGACAUAAAAAAGAGAGCACGUUUCUUGUUAGGGCCAAUCAGCCGGACCAGCGCAGCAGCGUGGGAUUGGCUGAGGAGGAGGAGGCCCUUCCCAGGAUACCUCGCUGAGGAAGGAAGCUGGGAGCACAGCCUUCCAGGCGGGCUCCAGGCAUCUGGAGCUUCAGUGAGGUGGAGGGGCCCAGCCAGGGGGCUGCUGUCUGCCAGGGCAGUUCCCACUGGCCAGGGCCAUCCUGCGGGGGACCUCAGAACCUGGCUGAGCAUCCCUCACUACCUGCCAGGACGUAGAAUGAUCUGGAGCCCCUCCCCCAUUCCCCAGCUGACAGUGGGCAGCCCCUCUGGCCCCACAAUUCCAGGAACAUUGGGAAAACUCCUGACCAAAUGCCAGUCCCGGUGCCUGAAAUUCUACCAGCCAAACUCUGGCCUUGAAAGAUUUUUCUUCUUCUAAACUCACUUAUGGAAAUAAACAUUCUGGAGAAGGAGAAACCUCCGCUGCCUGCUCUGUCUCCUGCCUGACUGCCAGCUAGAUUCAGCGCCCCUUCCUCCCCACCUGCGCGGCCCAGGAGAGACAGGCUCUGCCAUCGCUACCUGGCUGGUCCGGGUGAUGCAGCGGCGGACCAGGUCCCUGAGGUUGUUGUGCUUGUCCGUCUGGAAGUACACGGUGGCGCUGGACUUUUCCUUCAGUGACUGAAACCCCCAUUAGGUGGAAGAAGUUAACUCCAUGCUGCCCACAAGCAUGUAGCCUCCAAACCAGUUGGAACCAGAAGGUUGAUGUUGACUCCUGAUGACCUCGCCACCAAGCAAUCAGAAGAAGGUCUGAGCGGAUCACCCACCCUGACACCCGCCUCCCUCCCCCUGUCUUUAAAACCUUUUCCUGGAAGCCACUGGGGAGCUUGGGUCUUAAAGGCACUAGCUGCCUGGACUCCUGGCUGGGCGUUCUGUACUUUCCUUCCCCACACCCUGGUGUCAGUAGAUUGGCUUCACGGCACAUGGGCGAGGGGACCCAAAUUUGGUUCCAUAACAUAACCACCAGCACAAUCAAGAUGUAGGAUAUCUCCAUCACUGCCAAAAAGUCCCCAUUUUCUUCUGUAGUUAACUACUUCCCCCACCCCCAACCCCUGGGAACUACUGAUCAGUUAUCGUUCCCAAAAGUUUUGCCUAUUCCAGAAUGUCCUAUAAAUGGGAUCAUAUAGUGUGAGCCUUUUGAGUCUGGCUUCUUUCUCUUAGCAAAAUAUACUUGGGAUACCUUCAUAUUGCGCCCCUGCUUAAGUCCUUUUUUUUGGCUGAGUAGUGUUUUCUUGCAUGGAUAUAACAUACUUUGUUUAUCCCUUUCUUUGUUGAAAAACAUUUAGUUACUUCCAGUUUGGGGCUUUUAUGAAUAAAGCUGCUGUAAAUACUCUAUAGAGUUUUUCGUAUGAACAUAAGUCUUUAUUUCACUUAGAUGAAUACCUGGGAGUAUAGCUGGGGGAUUGCUGGGUCUAUGGUAGGUGUAUAGGUAACUUAUAAGAAACUGUCAAACUGUUUUCUAAGAUCCUGUACCAUUUUACGUGCCCACGACUCAUGCAGGAGACUUCUGCUAGCUCCACAUCUUCGUUGGUGCAUAGACUUUACAAAAUGAUAAUAUCCACUGCUGGUGACAGCUGCAUAGUUCAUGAGACCCAAUGCAAAAUGAAAACAAGGAGGCCCCUUGUUUAAAGCAAAAGGAAAAAGUAUCAUUAAUGGUAUUAAAAUAGAUUUUCCUUUCUUCUGCAGUCUUUCAUUUUCUCAUGGUAUUUAUU